AAACAGAUUAAUAUUUCUGUACUCGAUAUAAUUGCGAUGGGGGGACGGAGCAGGCUAAACAAGCAUGGCGUUGGUAGUCCAUGUGAAAGUGAGUAGGUUGGCGACUUAGGUAAAUCCGGGUUGCUGUUAAGACUGAGACACGAGACGAGUCACUACGGUGAUGAAGUUGUUGAUGCCAUACUUCCAGGAAAAGCCUCUAAGCUUCAGAUUAUAUGGAAUCGUACCCC
rnacentral:rRNA from 2 species